AAUUUAGAACUAUUGAAUUGUUCUGUACUUGUGAAAUAUGUGUAUUGCGAUUAACUGUUUGACUAUAUAUACAUCAACCUACCUGGUUCAUCAGGAUCAAAUAGUGGAUUCGAUUCGUAGAACAACAUUUACAUUAUUUUAUUGCAUCGAAGUUAUUAGCUAUACCAGGGUUGCCAGAUGUCAGGCAUUCAGCCGGAGUCUCAGGUUUUACAUCGUGCUCUCCGGCCACCGGCAGGCGCGACUAUAACUCCGGCAGAACAAUAAAUUUCAAUUUAAUACUUUUCAAAUAGGUCAAACGCUUCCUUUUUAAGCACCUAAUAACACCUUAAUUUUUAAAUAUGACAAAAUCACAAAUAAAAACUUUCGUAGAGAUCUUGCUUUCAAAAGGAAAUGUUACCACGUAAUGAGCGCUGAAAUUCUACUCGUCUGCCGCCUGUCGGUCUGCGAGUGUGUGAUUCCUGUCGAAUCAACACCAUUGCGUUGCGAUUUUGGAGUUAGUAGUCCGGUUUGACUAUUUCUUUGCGAUGUUGAUGUUUAUGUUUCAUUUAUUAAAUUAAGUGCACUGUAUUUACCCUUCUAUUACUUAUAUUGCAAGAAUGAAGAAAGUAUAGUUUGUUUUAUUUGUCUACUUAGACUUAUACCAAUAAAAAAAUUC